rnacentral:rRNA from 1 species
UGGACUGCCUUUUGCAUAAUGAGCCUGCGAGUUGUGGUGUCUGGCGAGGUUAAGGAAACCCGGAGCCGUAGCGAAAGCGAGUCUUAAUAGGGCGUUUAGUCAGAUGCUGCAGACCCGAAACGAUGUGAUCUAUCCAUGAGCAGGUUGAAGCCGGUGUAAGAGCCGGUGGAGGACCCAACCCGCUGGCGUUGAAAAGCCAUGGGAUGACUUGUGGAUAGGGGUGAAAGGUCAAUCAAACAUCGUGAUAGCUGGUUCUCUCCGAAAUAUAUUUAGGUAUAGCGUCAUGUAGUAACACUAGGGGGUAGAGCACUGAAUGGGCUAGGGCAUACACCAAUGUACCAAACCCUAUCAAACUCCGAAUACCUAGUGCGUAAUCAUGGCAGUCAGGCGGCGAGUGAUAAAAUCCGUCGUCGAGAGGGGAACAACCCAGACUAACAGCUAAGGUCCCUAAAUCUCAUUUAAGUGGAAAACGAUGUGAAGUUACUUAAACAACCAGGAGGUUGGCUUAGAAGCAGCCAUCCUUUAAAGAAAGCGUAAUAGCUCACUGGUCUAGUGAUUUUGCGCGGAAAAUAUAACGGGGCUAAAAUGAGUACCGAAGCUUUAGACUUAGUUUUACUAAGUGGUAGGAGAGCGUUGCAUUCAGCGUCGAAGGUGUACCGGUAAGGAGCGCUGGAGCGAAUGCAAGUGAGCAUGCAGGCAUGAGUAGCGAUAAUUGGGGUGAGAAUCCCCAACGCCGUAAACCCAAGGUUUCCUACGCGAUGCUCGUCAUCGUAGGGUUAGCCGGGUCCUAAGCAAAGUCCGAAAGGGGUAUGCGAUGGAAAAUUGGUUAAUAUUCCAAUGCCAACUAUAAUGUGCGAUGGAAGGACGCUUAGAGUUAGAGGAGCCAGCGGAUGGUAGUGCUGGUCGAAAGGUGUAGGUUAAGAUCCAGGCAAAUCCGGAUCUUUUUAAGCCGAGACCCCACAGGCACACAAAGUUCUUCGGAACAGCGUGUGAAUCCUUGAUACUGUCGAGCCAAGAAAAGUUUCUAAGUUUAGUUAUAGUUGCCCGUACCGUAAACCGACACAGGUGGGUGGGAUGAGUAUUCUAAGGCGCGUGGAAGAACUCUCUUCAAGGAACUCUGCAAAAUAGCACCGUAUCUUCGGUAUAAGGUGUGCCUAACUUUGUGAAGGAUUUACUCCGUAAGCAUUGAAGGUUACAACAAAGAGUCCCUCCCGACUGUUUACCAAAAACACAGCACUCUGCUAACUCGUAAGAGGAUGUAUAGGGUGUGACGCCUGCCCGGUGCUCGAAGGUUAAUUGAUGACGUUAGCUCUGCGAAGCGUUUGAUCGAAGCCCGAGUAAACGGCGGCCGUAACUAUAACGGUCCUAAGGUAGCGAAAUUCCUUGUCGAUUAAAUAUCGACCUGCAUGAAUGGCGUAACGAGAUGGGAGCUGUCUCGAAGAGGGAUCCAGUGAAAUUGUAGUGGAGGUGAAAAUUCCUCCUACCCGCGGCAAGACGGAAAGACCCCGUGGACCUUUACUACAGCUUGACACUGCUAUUGGGAUAAAAAUGUGCAGGAUAGGUGGGAGGCUUUGAUCCAUAGACGCCAGUUUAUGGUGAGCCAUUGUUGAGAUACCACUCUUUUUUAUUCUGAUAGCUAACUAGCUUGAGUUAUCCUCAAGUAGGACAAUGUCUGGUGGGUAGUUUGACUGGGGCGGUCGC